GCGCACUCCCAUGUUUGGGCCCCUAUAACCACGACCGGUUGAUAGGGCCAUGGGUUGGAGGUGGGACUUGCCCCACGAACUAUGUCGAGUGUGCGGAGAAUCUCCGAUCCGUAAUGAGUGAUACAAUUGUUAAUAUAAUGUGAACUCGAAUAGGUCGAAUCUCAUGAGAUUGUACUCGCUUUAUGAUAAUUAACUUAAAGCGUUAUGCUGUAUAAAAUUAUUUUAUAUACUCGAUUUAUACAUGUACAAAUUAUAUUAUGAUAUAUUGUGUGUUGCAUUUUUAUCAGUCAAAAGUUUAUCUGCUGGUUCAUAACAGUAGAUAAAGUAAAUAUUUUGCCAUCAGUGUAUAAAAUCACUGUAAUAAUAAAAUAUAAAACGACCAAAGUGACAAAUAAACUAUUAAAUUCAUGUAUAAUUAAGGAAACAAGUGCCUUUAAUAUUAAUAUUAAUUAAAUAUAAGUAGGACUUAGUGUGUAAGUUAUUUGUUAUACCAUUAACUAAACAUUAUACGUUUUGUUAAUAAAAAAAUAAAACAGAUUUUAUAUUCGUAAAAAAAAAAAAAAAAAAAAAAAAAAAAAAAAAAAAAAAAAAAAAAAAAAAAAGGUUAGGUUAGGUUAGGUUAGGUUAGGUUCCCAG
rnacentral:misc_RNA from 1 species